CGGCGAGGCGUUCCUCGGCUUCUCGGGGCGAGCGGCUUCCCCGCCCAGCUCGGGCCGGGUUCCUCUCGGCCCCGCGCUGCUCCUCGCCCGUCCCCGCGCUUCGCCGUUCCCACGGGGCUCUGUGCGUCCGGACAGAGGCAGAGCCCGUUAGGGAGGGCCGUUGGUUAGACUGAAAAUCCCGCUUCUGGCCCUGCGGAGUUACAGCGUCCUGCCUUCCUUUUGCAGCAGUGCCUGUGGGGAGUGUGCCGUGAUUGACAGAUCGCCCCUCCGUUCCCCCAUAGAGCUUCAGGGUCCGACUAACUCUGGGUGCACUCGGUUGUUGCCGUAAUUUCUCCUUUAGUUUGCUUAAAACCAAACUUUUGUGUUUGUUUCUUAACGAUUGGGAUUAAGAGAUGCCUGUUUCCUCCGGUUUGGUGGAAGCGUGUGAUGUGUGAGGUGACCUCACAGAGCCACUGCAGAGGUGGGAUUGUUCGGCCUAAUGCUCCUUAGCAGACCUGUGCUCUGAGCGGGCUCUGGGCCUUUCUUGGAAAGCGCAGCUCUGUGUUAUUUCAUCCUGAAAAAAGACAGGAUAUUCUGAGGGUAGUUGGCUUGGAAGCCCAUGUCAGAACCACCACUGUGCUGUGUGUGAAUUGGACAGGCCUCGGGCUGAGCGUUUGAGUUGGGUUGGUUGCCAAAUGGUGGCUGGAAGGUGCGUCAGCAGAAAGGUUUGUCUGGGGCAGAGUUCCUCCUGCUCUCCCUUCCCAUCUCAAAUGGCUGUUUCCAGGGGAAGUUGGUUAUUUUUUGAGACUUCAUAUGGUGUUUCAGUGAGGAUGAUGAAUCAUCCUUACUCUCUUAGUUAAUUGCUGCCAGAACCCAGCAGUGAUUUCAGAAAUAAAAAAGGAAUGAGUGUGUUCUCUCUGCUGAGAGAAGCAGCAGCUUCAUAGUAUCCUUCAUCUGGAGGAGGUUCCCAGCACCUGGUCAGGCACUAAGGAGGAAGGGGACAGAGAGCUGCUCAAUAUCAGUGUAGGGAAAAAAGGAGUUGUGGGCUAGGAGAGAGCAACUCCAUUAAAAAUUGGUACUUCCUAAAAAUCUGUUGAGGACUGGGAUUUGUAGGUCCUGCCUCCACAUGGUGUGCUGUGCUCAUGCCUGUUGUUGCUGUGCAAGGUGGGGGGCACGACUUCAUUGAACAGACUGUGUUGCCUGGAAGAAGAGCACAGACUCCAGAGUGUGAGCCCGGAGCAUCUGGAAAAGGCAGAGGGAGUUUUCUUCAUGAAAGCAAUACUUUCAGAAGUGCUUUCAUGUCAGGAAUUCAGACAAACACUUCUGUUGUCUGACCCUUCUCUUUGGCCCUCAGCACAAUGGUGUGCAGCCUUUCCUGCCCCUCACAGCCCUGCGAGGUGCCAAGUGCUGUGCUUUGGGUCUGCAGGUGGGUGAGUGGCAGCAGAGACUUUCUGAGUGAAAUACUUCGUGCUGGAGAUAAACAACAACAAAUACAGCUGGGUAAAUGUGGUCAUCUUCUUCUAACAUAUUAGUUGAAGCACAAAAAAAUCCUCUUCCCUUCUUGCUGUUCUCUGCAGGACAGCAAACUGGAAAGCAAGAGCAGGGAAUAGACGGUGUUGUUUGGCGCUCAGGAAGGCGAGAUGCAAAGAAAUGAGAUGCUUCCUUUGUGCUACCUGUCUUCUUUUGGCAAGGGCUGGGCCGUGUGUGUGUGCACUGAGUCCCAGCUGCUGUGACCUCAGUGUAGCUGGAAUUCUUUUGUACAGAACAAACUUGAAAUCUCUUGAUAUAAAAACUUGACUGGCAUUCUGGAGGAGAAUUCUGGGGGUCUUUAGAAAGGUGAAGCAAACUGCUGAGAGACGUGCUGAGUGCUCCAGAGUUACUCGUUGUGCACAGGCUCCCAGGGCUCAGUGCUUGGUUGGUGUUCGGGCUGCUGUGCUAACAGAUGUGUUUGGGGUUAUCCUGUUUUAAAAUGGAAGGGCUUGUAGGGAGUGGAGGGCUGUGGGAUAUUUCUGGUUGUGGUUUCUUCCUGCUCCUGAGUCUGGAUCCCUUCCAGUUGCAAAUUGUUUUCCUCUUCCUCCUCCUCCCUUUCUUCGCAUUUCGGUAGUUUUUGUUAUGGGAGGAAUUUAAAAGUUCCACAGAGCAGAAUCCAGAGACGUGUUUGUGCCCAGCUCUGUGCUGGGCAGCACUGAGGUUGUUAGGAGCAGGUGCCUAUGGGAAUCUGCGUGAGAUGAAUCUGGUUGUGAAGGUGCUAAAGGUCAAAAGGGAGCAUUCCUAUCAGUUCUGGAGAAGGAAUCUUUGCCCUUAACUGCUGUUUUUAUUCCCUUUGUCACGCAGUCAAGCCAGCAACUGACUGAGAACCCGACUUCUCCUCUCUUUAUUUUAGAUUUGGGAAAAUUCCCUGCCAAAAAAAUAUUUCCUGGAAAAUUCCCUAGUGUUUGUGUGAGUAAAAGGUUCCAACCUUUCCUUAUUGAUUGUCGGAAAUCCUUUGCACAGAAAUGUGCAGCACUUUAAUGAAAGAGUUCAGAAUCACUUUAAUUUGAACUUCUGUCUGGCCUGGUUGCAGGUUUUACGGCAUUGAAUAACUUUAAAACAAGUAAAAGAUCAAAGUAUUUGAUUUCCCAUCAAGAAAAAAACAACCAACCAACCCAAACCCUUCUUGUGGCUGAGCAGGAGGUGCUGCAGCUCCGUGCAGCUGAGCCGAGCUGCUUUCCCCGCGCUGUGAGCGGUGGCUGCGGUGAGGGAGCAGCGCGUGCUGGCAAACCCGCAGCACUGCUGCGCCCGAGAUCCGAUUCCUUACAAAGCCCAGACCAAUUGAAGAUGCUCCGUAUCGUGCAGCCACGCCGUUCCCAAAGUCAGCCUUCCCCUCCUCGCCGCUUGCUGUUCCCUCAGCCUGCUGUCGCUGCUCCCUGCGUGGAGCAUGCAGCCUGUCUGUGUGCGCAGAGCCCCGUACACCAUGUGCAUGCACGUGUGUUUGUGUGCCAGCACCAGUCCCACAGGCGUUUCCCACCGGCCGCGGUGCGGCUCCUCUCUUUGUGGCUGCUUCCCUCCAGGUGAGAGGAGCAGGCGGCCCCACAUCCCUGCUAUUGCUGCUGCUCUUGCUGGGUUCUGCCGCUCACACCUGUGUGUAUCCGUGUAUUGAUGCGCACUGGCAUGCUUUUGCUGUACAGGUAAUAAAGACGGGGGAAGGUUUUUGUGUUUUCUUAAUAGGUGAAGAAAUCUUGAAGACCAGAAAUUCCAACUUACAGAAUUUUAAAUUUUAAAAAUAUAAUAUAAUUUUAAAAAAAAAAAAAAAAAAUUGUCCGGCUGUGGAAGACGGAGCCUCAUUUUUGCAGCCGCUUUGAGUCACGAGUUCGCCUUUAAGUGCACUGGGUUUUUCUUUUUUUUUUUCCCUUUUUUCCUUUUUUUUUUCCUCGAAGAGCUCACUAACCCUGGCUGCCUCCGCUCUGAGAGCAUUCCAAUGGACUCGCUUCCUCCAUUAGUUGUAAGAUGUUUAAGAGCACAUCCCGUGUUUGACUUGUGGAUGAGAGGUUCCCUUGGCAAAGUGAGGAGGAAAAUUCUUUCUACCCCUUUAUUAUUAAUUCACGGAUUCAGUGUUGGUUCGGCCUACAGGAGAAGUUAACUGGAAGGCUUUGAAGAUCGCUGUCUUUGCUGAGGUUGUCCAGGGUUCCUUUCAAAAAGAAGAUUUCGCUGAUCCAGGCAGUAGAAGACGUUCAGUCCAAGGAAGCACGAGCCAGCUCUUUGAGAGAGCACAGAAGACCUGCACAGAGAUCCUUGAGACCUGAGCUGCUUCUGAGACUCGUCCAGCAUGUCGAAGCAAGGAGAUGAUUGCUAUUUCUACUUCUACUCCACCUGUAACAAGGGAGACAGCUGUCCCUUCCGGCACUGCGAAGCUGCUCUGGGCAACGAAACCAUCUGCACACUGUGGAAGGAGGGCCGCUGCUUCAGGAAUGUCUGCAGGUUCAGGCACAUGGAGAUCGAUAAAAAGCGCAGUGAGAUUCCCUGCUUCUGGGAGAACCAGCCGGGAGGCUGCCAGAAAUCCAACUGUGCCUUUCAUCACACCAAGGGACGUUAUGUCGAUGGGCUCUUCUUACCACCAAGCAAAAGUGAGUUUGUCUUUUCUAAGUAUGA